rnacentral:lncRNA from 1 species
GUGACUCUUGAUAUUUUGAUCCUUAAAUUUUAAUUUGUUGUUAUUUUUCAUUCAAUAUUUAUUGCAGUCCAAUAAAAUUGACUAAAUAAUAAUAUACAAUUAAUAUAGUAAUAUCGAUGGUAAGUGACAUGACAGCAAUUAAAAUAUUAUAUUAUUACUAUAUUAGCUACACAACUAAAAUAGAUUGCUGAACGUAAUUGUAACAAAUCAAAAAACUUUAAGUUGAAAUUAUAAUAAAUUUAACAGUCCAAUAAAAUUUACAAAAUGAAACUACUCUAUCAACCAUUUCUCAU